GUAGCUCCCAUCACUACUUCUCUUCAUCUCUGCUUUACCCAGAGUGAAGCAGGAGCACCAAGACCACAUCUUCACAACUGCAUGAGUACAACUGGGCAACAGGCCAACUGGACAAACACAGCACACAAAUUUCAUUGAAAUCUGAGAAGCAAGAAUGUUCUUCUUCGUUUGAACCUGAAGACACCUGCAGCUCAGUCUCAGGUUAAUGAGUCCCUCUCUUCAAGUUCUUCUCUGACAAACUGACUGGCUUGAAGCCCUCCUUUGGAGAAGAAUUCAGGAAGAGGUCAUUUAAAAGAGCCCAAAGAUGCAGCGGGCUGGAUCAAGAGCGCAGAUGUCCAGAACACAGGCUGGGUAAGCAGCUGCCCUCUGGUUGAUUACCAAGCACUUCACACCAAGGCUAUUCCAUCUGAAGGACAUUACAGAGAACAAAAGGCAUAGGGUCACAUUUCCUACUACAUUCUGUUACUUCUUCUCAAAAGCAAUGAAAUGCCCCAUUUUUGAGUGUA